rnacentral:tRNA from 1 species
GCGCCCAUGGUCCAAUGGAUAUGACGCAGGCCUCCGAAGCCUGAGAUUGAGGUCCGAUUCCUCAUGGGCGCGCCA